rnacentral:rRNA from 1 species
GACGAACGCUGGCGGCGUGCUUAACACAUGCAAGUCGAACGGAAAGGCCCUGCUUUUGUGGGGUGCUCGAGUGGCGAACGGGGGAGUAACACGUGAGUAACCUGCCCUUGACUGUGGGAUAACUUCAGGAAACUGGGGCUAAUACCGGAUAGGAGCUCCUGCUGCAUGGUGGGGGUUGGAAAGAUUCGGCGGUUGGGGAUGGACUCGCGGCUUAUCAGCUUGUUGGUGGGGUAGUGGCUGUCCAAGGCUUUGACGGGUAGCCGGCCUGAGAGGGUGACCGGCGACCUUGCGACUGCGAUACGGCCCAGACUCCUACGUGCGGCAGCAGUGGGGAACAUUGCACAGUGGGCCGACGCCUGAUGCAGCAACGCCGGGUGCGGGAUGACCGCCUUCGGGUUGUAAACCGCUUUCGCAUGUGCCGAAGCGUGAGUGACGGUAAUGGGUAAGGAAGCACCGGCUAACUACGUG